rnacentral:rRNA from 1 species
UAGUCAUAUGCUUGUCUCAAAGAUUCUUCCAUGCAUGUCUAAGUAUACCCAAAUUAUACUGGGAAACUGCAAAGGGCUCAUUAAAUCAUUUAUAUUUUAUUUAAUGUUUCUUGCUACAUGAAUAACUGGGGUAAUUCUAGACCUAAUCCAUGCGUAAAAGGCCCCAACUUCUGGAAGGGGUGUAUUUAUUAAAUAAAAACCAUCCUCCUCGAAUUUUGGUGAUUCAUAAUACCUUCUCAAAUCGCACGGCCUUGUGCUGGCAAUGCUUCAUUCAAAUAUCUGCCCUAUCAACUGUCAAUGGUAGGAUAGAGGCCUACCAUGGUUGCAACGGGUAACGGGAAAUAAGGGUUCGAUUCCGGAAAGGGAGCCUGAAAAACGCCUACCACAUCCAAGGAAGGCACCAGGCGCGCAAAUUACCCAAUCCCAACACGGGAAGGCAGUGACAAUAAAUAACAAUGCAGGGCCCUUUUGGGUCUUGUAAUUGGAAUGAGUACAAUUUAAACCCCUUAACGAGGAACGAUUGGGG